rnacentral:lncRNA from 1 species
UUUUUUUAGUAACUUCUAACUUAAUAUUCAGCUAUAAUUAGGUGGAAAUAAUAGUUAUAUAAUAAUAAAAAAUUUAUUGAUUUAUUUUUCUUUAAAGUAGUUUUUGUUGAUUUAUUUUGUAAUUUUGUUUUUAUUGAUUUUUAACAAAGAAAUUUUAAAAUUAUUUUGCUUUUAGAAAAUUCUAUACUAAAUAAAUAAUAAGUAUAGAAUUCCAGUCAGAUCCAGUUCAUGUUGCAGCUAGUGAUGUUUCAUUGGAUCAUCAUUUUGCUAUGAAUUAAAUUAUUGUGGAUGGUAAACGAUUUUAUGCCUCUUUGCUCUUUAUGGUAUUGAAUCAGGCACUGAAUUGCACUAUGAUUAUCAUGAUAAUAAAAGUGUAUGGUGGAGAAAGCAGACUUUUUCAAAUUGCAGGAAACACAAGUUCAAACAGAAUGGUUUUUCUUAAAACAAACAUGGAAGGAUUAGUAUACAGGUGAGAUGUUUAAACAUUUUUUCUAAAAUUUGAAUAAAAAAUGUCUUCGUUAAAAGUAUUAUAGUUUCAUUUUUUUUUUCUUUAUUUAAUUAUUUAAAAUUUUUUUUAAGUGAAGAAAUUGAUGACAUAAUCAGCCCUUAUUGUGACAGUAAUUUUUAUUAAACUGUCAUUUAAAAGAGCAAAAAGCAAAAGAGCGAUAGCAGUCACUUUAUUAUCAAUAGUUUAUUAGUUGAUAGCAGCCAUUUUAUUAGCAGUUAAUAGUAGGUCAAUGUAAAUAAAAAUUUUAUAAGUUCAACCUUAAUAUUGAGCUACUGUAUUGAGCUAGCAAAACUUUGAUAAUAAUAUACAACUUAAUAAAAUCUAUAAACUUAUUUUUAGAUUGCUGUAUAAAAACUAUUUUUACAUUGUACUCUCUCGUAAUAUAUUUAAGUGUUGUAUUGAUUUUAAUCUGUUCACUUCCAAAUCUCUGUUUACUCAAAUUGCUCUGUUUACAAUUAAAAAAGCAAUUAAAAAAUAGCUCAUAAACAAACUCAAAAACAGAUCAAUUUAAAGAAAUGCAUAUCUACUAUUCAUACAAGUUAUGUUAAAAGGUAAAUUUUUAAAUUAAUUUGUUAUAAUUUAAUUCAAAUUACUAAUAUUGUCAACUUGAUUAUUCUAUUGCUUAUUCAAUUAAUUAUUUUUAUUCAAUUAACUAUUGUUUAUUCAAUUAACUAAUUUUAAUCGAAUUAUAUGAUGAAAUAACUCAAUAAAAUAUUUUUGUUGUCCUUUAAAAUUUAGCAAUAAAAAUUAACAAAAAUAAAACUUCUUGACUCUGACCCAAUUUGUUGUUUGCAGAAAAAAAGGUUCAUUUUAAAGUUAAUUUAAGAAAAUAUUUUAAAUAAAUUAUUUUUGACUAUGAAUUACAUUAGAUGUCACAUUUAAACUAUUGGUUUCUAAUAUCAUUGACUUAAUUGAAAGGGUCAUUUUAGAAUUUAAAAAAAUUGAAAGGGUCAUUUUAGAGACACUAUAAGUCAAUUUUGGAAAAUAAUGAUGGAUCACAGGGAAUAUGUUACAUGAGGCUAGAUACGUGUUACAUACAUGUCAGACCUUUCCGUCAACACUUUAAAGGCGUGGGCUGAAGAGUCUGACUAAUGUAAUUUCUAAAAAUGAUUUAUGAUGUUUUUAAAAUUAAACAAUAAAUUAUUGAGUUGUCAAGCUUCUUGCAUAUGUGAAAUCAUCACCAUUAUCAUAGAUAAUAAUUUUGGAACAAACCCACCAGCCUAACUAAAGGUAUCUCUGAAAUAGUUAGAUUUUUGUCUUAUUCUUGCUAUCCUAAGCUCUUGCUUUCAUUCCAGCUUUCCAACACUGAAAUAAUGGUAAAAAAUAUUUUUUUGUCUCUGCAAUUAAUCAUAAAUGUCUUUGUUAAAUAAUUCCAUGAAUAAACUAACACUGAACACUUUAAAGAGAUCUUCCUAAACAAAAUAACAAGAAAAGUAAAAAAAAUUCUAAACCCUGAUGCACACCAAUUUUGUUCUUAUAACUAACUGAUUGCUGUUGUGACAUUUUCAUGCAUAGUAAUGGUAGCUGUUAUCAUUCUUCAACCAAUAAAUACCUCACAGCCCACAACAAUUUUUUUUUAAUAUACUGUGAAAAAUUUUUAAAGAAAAAAAAUACUACUCUUUUUUAAACUAGUCCAAGAAUAAAUAUUGUUGGAUAAUAAAUAUUAUAAAAAUGUAAAUCUAUUGUUUUUUAAUUGAUGGAAAUUCUUUUAUGUAGCAAGUCACAUGUUACUUUUAUGUUGUCAAAUAUGAACUAAACAAAAAAGAUCUUUUUUUGAAAAUUCUGAGAUAUCAGAUGAAUAUUUAGGCAAUUAACUUUAAUUUGCUUCUUAAAAGCAAGUUUCUUGGGUAUCAUCAGAGAUGUUAGAUAAUUACUUAAUUAUUCAACUAGAAAAGUUUUCAACAAGCAAUGAAAGAAUUCAUGUUAAAAGAUUUAUUGCUUCCAAAUUAUAACUUAUAAAGGUAGGUAAUAUUUAGGUAAAUUUUAUUAGUUAAUAAAUUUUUAAUAGGUAAAUUUUAUUAGUUAAUAAAUUUGGAAAGUUCUUCAAUAGUACUGUUUUUUUUAAACUGGAUUUUGUCUAUUCUUUUGGUUUUAACUGCUUAAUGUAAUAAUUAAAAAUUAAAUAUAUUUUUUUAAAAGGUAAAGUUUUUUC